GGAUUUGGGCGUUUUUAAUGGGAUUUUCCUGGGAAUUCCGGGUUUUUUUGCGGGAAUUCCGGGGAUUUCCGUGGGAAUUCCGGGAUUUUUUCCCAGGAUUUGGGGAAUUUUUGGGAUCUGGGGGGGGCCCAGGACCCCAAAAACUCCGAAUUUUUGGGAUUUCAGGGAGAUUUGGGCGUUUUUAAUGGGAUUUUCCUGGGAUUCCAGGGAUUUCCGUGGGAAUUCCAGGGAUUUCCGUGGGAAUUCCAGGUUUUUUUCCAGGAUUUUGGGAUUUUUGGGAUCUGAGGGAUCCAGGGGGGUCCCAGGACCCCAAAACCUUCAAAUUUUUGGGAUUUUAGGGGGAUUUGGCCAUUUUUAAUGGGAUUUUUGUGGGAAUUCCAGGGAUUUUCGUGGGAAUUCCAGGGAUUUUCCCAGGAUUUGGGGAUUUUUGGGGAUUUUUGGGAUCUGGGGGGGUCCCAGGACCCCAAAAACUCCGAAUUUGGGGGAAUUUAUUGGGAUUUCAGUGGGAUUUGGGCGUUUUUAGUGGGAUUUUUGUGGGAAUUCCGGGUUUUUCGUGGGAAUUCCAGGAUUUUUUCCCAGGAUUUGGGGAUUUUUGGGGAUUUUGGGAUCUGAGGGAUCAAGGGGAGGUCCCAGGACCCCAAAACCUCCAAAUUUGGGGGAAUUUAUUGGGAUUUCAUUGGGAUUUGGGCAUUUUUAGUGGGAUUUCCGUGGGAAUUUUGGGGAUUUCCGUGGGAAUUCCGGGUUUUCCGUGGGAAUUCCAGGAUUUUUUCCCAGGAUUUGAGGAUUUUUGGGAUCUGGGGGGGGUCCCAGGAGCCCAAAACCUCCAAAUUUGGGGGAAUUUAUUGGGAUUUCAUUGGGAUUUGGGCGUUUUUAGUGGGAUUUCCGUGGGAAUUCCGGGGAUUUCCGUGGGAAUUCCGGGUUUUCCGUGGGAAUUCCGGGUUUUUUUCCAGGAUUUGGGGAUUUUGGGAUCUGAGGGCCCCGGGGGGGUCCCAGGGGCCCCCCCAAGCCGUGCUCUGCCCCCCGCAGGUCUCGUGCCCCCCCGGGGAGGGCAGCGCCAAACCCUCGGCCGAGGACAUGACCUCCAAGGAUUAUUACUUCGAUUCCUACGCUCACUUCGGGAUCCACGAGGAGAUGCUGAAGGACGAGGUUCGCACUCUCACCUACCGCAAUUCCAUGUUCCACAACCGCCACCUGUUCAAGGACAAGGUGGUGCUGGACGUGGGCAGCGGCACCGGCAUCCUCUGCAUGUUCGCUGCCAAGGCGGGGGCCAGGAGGGUCAUC
rnacentral:lncRNA from 1 species